GGUCGGCGUUAGCCGUGCAUUAACCUUUUCAGCUUAUGAAGGAAUCAUGUCCGGUUUUCCGGAUGUGGGGCAGAUUUCGAUCUGCCGCUGUUUUUGAUGCCUCUGUCGACUUUAUCAAAGCCGCCCCUCCCGGGCGGCUUUUUUUUC
rnacentral:sRNA from 1 species